GUUGAAGAAAAUAUGGUUUCCUGGUUGAUGCAUAUAAUGGGUUAAAUGCUAUAUGACGCAUAUGAUGUGAAGAUUGGGUAAAGGCAUAUAGUGUGAUAAAUGCAUAUAAUGGGAGAAAUAUAUAUUACAUGACAAUUGCAUAUGAAUAUAAUGCAUGCUAGUUGAUAAUGGCAGAUUAAUAUGUUGAAUGUUAGAUGAAUGCAUGAACUAAAUGUUAGAGAAAUGUAUGAAAAUAAUGUUGUAGGAAUGCAUGGUCUAUUUUAU
rnacentral:lncRNA from 1 species